UUUUGUUGUGGAUGGCAGAAG
rnacentral:miRNA from 1 species